AUGACACGUGAUGAACUCAUGUGUCAAAUCUGUGGCUUACAUCCCUUGGAGCCGGGAAAAGUCGGCGCACAUAAAGUCCUGCCACCAUUGCCUCCAAAGAAGAAGAAGAAAGUGACAUUUGUAGAACAACCAACUACAGUGACGUACAAAACUUUGGACCAGCUAGAAGAUACACACAACAUAGAAAGUGAACCAAGGAAGGGACACAACCAAACCCUAAUGUCAGCAAUCAGACAUGUGGGGUAUAGUCAGAACCUAAGCCAAACUCAUGUGCAAGUAACUGCCACCCAAAAUGAGGCAAUUCAUUUGGAAAGAAAGGAAAUUCCCACCCAUAGUUUGGAAAACCAGGACAAGAACAAGGAAACAUAUGGCAUCCAUCACCUAAGAAGAGCCACCCAACCAGUAGCUGGUAUACCUACACAUCAAGCUCAAGCACCAAAUAAAGACCAUGUGCGGGCAACUCCUGUUCACAAUGAGGCAAAUUUGGGCAAUGCCAAGGCAACUCACCCACAUAGUUUGGCGACCCAGGAGAAUACCAAGGCAACAUGUUCAAUCUAG
rnacentral:rRNA from 1 species